AGUGAACGCUGGCGGUAGGCCUAACACAUGCAAGUCGAACGGCAGCACAGUAAGAGCUUGCUCUUACGGGUGGCGAGUGGCGGACGGGUGAGGAAUACAUCGGAAUCUACUUUUUCGUGGGGGAUAACGUAGGGAAACUUACGCUAAUACCGCAUACGACCUACGGGUGAAAGCAGGGGAUCUUCGGACCUUGCGCGAUUGAAUGAGCCGAUGUCGGAUUAGCUAGUUGGCGGGGUAAAAGUCCACCAAGGCGACGAUCCGUAGCUGGUCUGAGAGGAUGAUCAGCCACACUGGAACUGAGACACGGUCCAGACUCCUACGGGAGGCAGCAGUGGGGAAUAUUGGACAAUGGGCGCAAGCCUGAUCCAGCCAUACCGCGUGGGUGAAGAAGGCCUUCGGGUUGUAAAGCCCUUUUGUUGGGAAAGAAAAGCAGCAGGUUAAUACCCCGCUGUUCUGACGGUACCCAAAGAAUAAGCACCGGCUAACUUCGUG
rnacentral:rRNA from 1 species